rnacentral:rRNA from 1 species
GAUGAACGCUAGCGGCAGGCUUAAUACAUGCAAGUCGUGGGCAGCAUGAGUAGCAAUACUUGAUGGCGACCGGCAAACGGGUGAGGAACACGUACACAACCUUCCUUCAAGCGGGAAUAGCCCAGAGAAAUUUGGAUUAAAUACCCCAUAAUAUAUUUGAUAAGGCAUCUUAUUAAUAUUAAAGCUUCGGCACUUGAUGAUGGGUGUGCGGCUGAUUAGAUAGUUGGCGGGUAACGGCCCACCAAGUCUACGAUCAGUAGCUGAUGUGAGAGCAUGAUCAGCCACACGGGCACUGAGACACGGGCCCGACUCCUACGGGAGGCA